rnacentral:rRNA from 1 species
CAUAAACCGACACAGGUGGGUUGGUAGAAUAUACCAAGGCGCUUGAGGUAAUAGUAGCUAAGGAACUCGGCAAAAUAGCUCUGUAACUUUGGAAUAAAGAGUGCUGCCUUUUGGCAGUCACAGUAAAGAGGGAACAACGACUGUUUAUUAAAAACACAGGUCUGUGCAAAAUGUUUAAUGAUGUAUACAGACUGACACUUGUCCAAUGAGGAAAGUUUAAGAGGAGAAAUGAAAGUUUUGAUUCUAAAGCCCCUUGAAUGACGGCUGUAACUAUAACGGUCCUAAGGUAGCGAAAUUCCUAGGCACAUAAUUGGUGUCCUGCAUGAAUAGUGUAACGAUUGUUCUACUGUCUCUGCUACUAUCUCAGUGAAAUUGAAUUAUCCGUGCAGAUGCGGAUUUUUUCUAGAAAGACGGAAAGACCCCAUGAACCUUUACUACAUGUUUAUAUCGUAUUAUUCUGAUAAUGUACAGUUUAAAUAUGAAGUUUAUGAUCUCUUGGCGCUAGUCAAUU